rfam:Populus trichocarpa isolate Nisqually-1 chromosome 9, whole genome shotgun sequence.
UUUUCUAGGGUUAAAUGUUAACAUUUUAGGCGAGUAUUCUAUUUUUAUGGAUUUGUAUACUUUUUUGACGUGUCUUUUAUUUUUAGAAACC